AGUGAACGCUGGCGGCAGGCCUAACACAUGCACGUCGAGCGGAGCGGCGGACGGGUGCGUAAUGCCUAGGAAUCUGCAUGGUAGUGGGGGAUAACGUCCGGAAACGGGCGCUAAUACCGCAUACUCUCAGAUGAGCCUAGGUCGGAUUAGCUAGUUGGGGGGGAAAAGGCAUACCAAGGCGACGAUCCGUAACUGGUCUUAGAGGAUGAUCAUUCACACUGUAACUGAGACACGGUCCAGACUCCGACGGGAGGCAGCAGUGGGGAAUAUUGGACAAUGGGCGAAAGCCUGAUCCAGCCAGGCCGCGUGUGUGAAGAAGGUCUGCGGAUUGGAAAGCACUUUAAGUUGGGAGGCGUUACCAACAGAAUAAGCACCGGCUAACUUCGUGCCAGCAGCCGCGGUAAUAC
rnacentral:rRNA from 1 species